GAUGAAGAACGUAGCGAAAUGCGAUACUUGGUGUGAAUUGCAGAAUCCCGUGAACCAUCGAGUUUUUGAACGCAAGUUGCGCCCAAAGCCAUUAGGUUGAGGGCACGUCUGCCUGGGCGUCACAUAUCGUUGCCCUGUGCCCCAUGCCUAUUGAUAGGCACAGUGCAGGGCGAAUGUUGGCUUCCCGUGAGCUCUUUUGCCUCACGGUUGGCUGAAAACUGAGUCCUUGGUUGGGUGUGUGCCAUGAUAGAUGGUGGUUGUGUGACCCACGAGACCGUUCAUGUGCAGCUCUACCAGAUUUGGCCUCUACGACCCACUUGCGUCCUUGGAUGCUCAUGACGAGACCUCAGGUCAGGCGGGGCUACCCGCUGAAUUUAAGCAUAUCAAUAAGCGGAGGA
rnacentral:misc_RNA from 1 species